rnacentral:rRNA from 1 species
UUUAUUUAUUAAUGGGUAUAGCACUGAACAUUUAAUUAUUUAAUAAAGGAGUAUGUAAGUACUUACUUUGGAUGUUUAAUCUCAGAAUAAUUAAUAUAAGUUGAAUAAGUUAUCGGACUUAUUGCGAUAAGGUGA